CACCAGCCCCCUGAGUGGUGGGGACGUUUAUUUGGCCUAAAGCGUUCGUAGCUUGCUGUAUCCGUUACCCGUUAAAUCCAGCGUCUCAAGCGUUGGGCUGCGAGUAAUACCAUACAGCUAGAGGGUGGGAUAGGUGAGCGGUAUUUCUAGGGUAGGGGCGAAAUCCUUUGAUCCUAGGAGGACCACCAGUGGCGAAGGCCGCUCACUAGAACACGCCUGACGGUCAGGGACGAAAGCUGGGGUAGCGAACCGGAUUAGAUACCCGGGUAGUCCCAGCUGUAAACGAUGCUCGCUAGGUGUUGGGUCGGUCACGUACCGCCCCAGUGCCGCAGGGAAGCCGUUAAGCGAGCCGCCUGGGGAGUACGGCUGCAAGGCUGAAACUUAAAGGAAUUGGCGGGGGAGCACCACCAGGCGUGAAGCUUGCGGUUU
rnacentral:rRNA from 1 species